UAGCUGUCUCAGGCCCUGGCCAGGUGGA
rnacentral:piRNA from 1 species